CACAAGCACGCUAUCUCACCCUGGCCACACACAAACCUAAACCCAAAUCGCACACUAGCCGCCGCCACCAUUCGUCUCCGUCGAUUCGGUCAUGCCGCUGCACGUCCCACCAUCGCCCGCGGGGGCCUACGCCACCCGAAGCUCCCGUACAUCUUGCAGUGCAGCUCCACCACCAGCAGCCUGAGGUGAAGCCCCGUCGUCAGCUCAUCCGGCGACCGACGCCACGUCUGCCGAUUCGGUCGCGCCGCUGCGCCUCCACCGCCAGCGGCGCCACGCGGCCACCCGAAGCUCUUGCCCAGCCCGUGGUGCAUCCCGACGUGUCGCCCUGGCGAUGGACGACCAGCCCAUCGAUUUGCGCUGGUGCUUCUCCGACUGCCAUUAGUCCCCCCAAAGGAUCCUUAUACCCCGUGCUUCCAUCCACAACCAAGGAGCAGCACAAACCCCUGCAUCCCGAGGUGCCAGCCAGCCGUCCCUCUUCCACCUCCGGUGAUGGCUCCCCUAUUCCCCCUUGUCCUGCCCUCCUUUGAAUCCAACCGUUGCAUCCUCGUCUUCAAUUGAAUCUAUUUACAGAGGGAAAACUCCACAAGAGGCUUCUGAAGCUUGGUCAAUACCUACAUGAGGAUUAUGAAAGGUUGAUGCAAGCCAGCUUCAGAAGGAGCUCAAGGCAUACAGGAAGACCGAGGACGAGGGGAUGAACAUACUUUUGAACACUACCUCCAUUUCUGUGCAGUUUCUCUCAAGGCACUAAGAUGUGAUAAAUCAUGAUGGCACACUAUCAACUUAUAUAAGUUCCUUGAGGGUAAAAGCAAGUAAUGAACAAGGUACUAGCUUUCUAUCCAUUCUUUUCUUUAUUCCGGCGUGAACUAUGUUGUCCUCCCUGAAAUGGUGAAAAAUGUCUAUAUAACCAUGUUAUGCAUGAUUUUGCUAUGUGUGUAACAUUUCAAGGGCAACUUCUUAGCUCAACUGAUGGCUGGAUGUCCUUUGUUACAAACGUGCAUGCUCUAACCAUUUGUUCUUUCUUGUCGUGAUGGAAGAUGUAACACCAUUUACUUGCUAGGUCACUUUCUUACAUUUUCUAAACAGAAUCAUUCAAGUUUCAAUGCUAAAUCAGAUUUGCUUACUAAAGGAUAUCAAUAAUUAUGCUAGGUCUAUGAAUAGUUUAGUGGCUUGUAGAUGAACUGAGCGCAUGUAGUAAUUAAAUGGACUAUAGAUGAACUCAGAGCACAUAGUAAAUGGCUGGCAUGAUUUUAUUAUAAAUUUUGUGAAGAUCAUCCUAGCAAUUACUCACACUAGACAAUGCCUAACUAGAGUGCAUCUAUUGAACCAAGAUGCAUGUGCAAUCAUAUGGUCUUCGAAAUGGCUUUUUUUUACCAAGUGCAUUUCCUGCUUUCACACAUAUGACUGGUGGUACAUGUACAAGUGCAUAUCUGAUUAUUUGAUGGUUGAGGACCUUCAAAUACAAAUUUGUAAAGUUACAAUAAGAACCUUAUUUGUUAUGCCUUGGAACAGAUCCGAGUCAAUGAGUGCAUAAUUUUUCUAUUAAGGCAUGUGAUAAACUAGUUGCUAGCCUGACUUUUGUUGGUACUUUGUUAAGGAUAUCUUCUGUAACCAAAUUAUUUGUAGUACAUCUUCUAUUUUUAUAUCUUUGGGAUCAAAGGCAACUCACAAAUUUGAACAAAUUCUCAUUUCUAAUAUUUCUCAAACAUGUAAGUUCUUUUGCAGCGAAAUGGCUCAUCCAGAAGUUGAUACAAGAUGUUUUGAUGGUCGGUUUUGUUCACAACAUGUUUGACACAUUUUGUGGAUAUGGAAGUUGAUGUCAGCUCGGUGAUCGAAGAGAUUUGGUCUCUUCGUUAAUAUUUUGUAGUAGUCAAGUGAUCGAACAAUUGGGUCUCUUAGGAGCCUGGCCAUCAUAUUUUGUAAUAGACCAUGUCUUGUAUGUCAACUUAUUUACUUAUUGGUUGUAGCUGACUUGAGUGUAGCAAACUACUGAAUCUUGUAUAUAUGCGUGAAUGAAUGUAUUAAUCAAUGGUAUGUUCUGAUGAAUCGAA